CACGCCGUAAACGAUGUACGCUAGAUCGGUGCGGUUUUGACGCCGUAUCGGUCGACGUGAAAACGAUAAGCGUACCGCCUGGGGAGUACGGUCGCAAGGCUAAAACUCAAAUGAAUUGACGGGGGCUCACACAAGCGGUGGAGCAUGUUGCUUAAUUCGAGGCAACGCGAAGAACCUUACCUGGGCUUGACAUAGCCGGAUUAACUCUUGGAAACUUGAGCAAGGCCCGCAAGGGUACAACGGUUACAGGUGC
rnacentral:rRNA from 1 species